UACGUAGGGCGCAAGCGUUGUCCGGAAUUAUUGGGCGUAAAGAGCUCGUAGGCGGUCUGUUACGUCCGCUGUGAAAACCCAGGGCUUAACCCUGGGCUUGCAGUGGAUACGGGUAGACUAGAGGCAGGUAGGGGAGAAUGGAAUUCCCGGUGUAGCGGUGAAAUGCGCAGAUAUCGGGAGGAACACCGGUGGCGAAGGCGGCAUCCUGGACCAACACUGACACUGAGGAGCGAAAGCCAGGGGAGCAAACGGG
rnacentral:rRNA from 1 species